rnacentral:rRNA from 1 species
AUUGAACGCUGGCGGCAGGCCUAACACAUGCAAGUCGAGCGGAGCGGCGGACGGGUGAGUAAUGCCUAGGAAUCUGCCUGGUAGUGGGGGAUCACGCCCGGAAACGGGAGCUAAUACCGCAUACUAUCAGAUGAGCCUAGGUUGGAUUAGCUGGUGGGGGGGGUAAAGGCUUACAAAGGCGACGAUCCGUAACUGGUCUGAGAGGAUGAUCAGUCACACUGGAACUCAGACAGGGCCCAGGCUCCUACGGGAGGAGGCAGUGGGGAAUAUUGGACAUUGGGCGAAAGCCUGAUCCAGCCAUGCCGCGUGUGGGAAGAGGUUCUUCGGAUUGUAAAGCACUUUAAGUUGGGAGGCGUUACCAACAGAAUAAGCACCGGCUAACUUCGUGCCAGCAGCCGCGGUAAUAC